rnacentral:rRNA from 1 species
UACGUAGGGUGCGAGCGUUAAUCGGAAUUACUGGGCGUAAAGCGUGCGCAGGCGGUUAUGUAAGACAGGGGUGAAAUCCCCGGGCUUAGCCUGGGAACUGCAUUUGUGACUGCAUAGCUAGAGUACGGUAGAGGGGGAUGGAAUUCCGCGUGUAGCAGUGAAAUGCGUAGAUAUGCGGAGGAACACCGAUGGCGAAGGCAAUCCCCUGGACCUGUACUGACGCUCAUGCACGAAAGCGUGGGGAGCAAACAGG